GGAGUUUGGACCGUGUCUCAGUUCCAAUGUGGCCGAUCACCCUCUCAGGUCGGCUACUGAUCGUUGCCUUGGUAGGCCGUUACCCCACCAACUAACUAAUCAGACGCAGGCCCAUCCCUUGCCGAUAAAUCUUUGGCAUCCCUAAGAUGUCUUAAGAAUGCAUUAUGAGGUUUUAAUCCCGGUUUCCCGAGGCUAUCCCUCUGCAAGGGGCAGGUUGGAUACGCGUUACUCACCCGUGCGCCGGUCGCCAUCUAUCAAAGCAAGCUUCGACUAAUGAUGCCCCUCGACUUGCAUGUGUUAAGCCUGUAGCUAGCGUUCAUC
rnacentral:rRNA from 1 species